rnacentral:lncRNA from 1 species
UUAUUUCCUUUUCUGUGCUUGCCCUUUUGUGUUCUCAUUUGGUUGAGUUUUAUCUGAAAAGGCGAGUUUGAAAAGGUCUAAUAUGUGAGUGUCAACGAUUUGACUUUUAGAGUCGCCAGUUGGUAGAUUUGAAAUAGUUGUACCAACUCAACCAAUUUUGAAAAUGUUUACACAAAGGCCCAAUGGUUGGACAUUGUUUAACUGGCCUUGGAAACCAAGGUUUAUUGGGUCCGGUGGCUCGAUUUAGCGGGGGGAAAGUGUUAGGCACCCCCCAACUUCCGUGAAAACAAGGUUAUCGCAACUUUUUAAUUACCUUAUUUAUCUGCGUGUGUUUGUGUGUGUGAUUAUUUGGCCUAUGUGCAAUUAUCUAGAAGUAGUGUUAU